AUGCAAGUCGAACGAACUCUGGUAUUGAUUGGUGCUUGCAUCAUGAUUUACAUUUGAGUGAGUGGCGAACUGGUGAGUAACACGUGGGAAACCUGCCCAGAAGCGGGGGAUAACACCUGGAAACAGAUGCUAAUACCGCAUAACAACUUGGACCGCAUGGUCCGAGUUUGAAAGAUGGCUUCGGCUAUCACUUUUGGAUGGUCCCGCGGCGUAUUAGCUAGAUGGUGAGGUAACGGCUCACCAUGGCAAUGAUACGUAGCCGACCUGAGAGGGUAAUCGGCCACAUUGGGACUGAGACACGGCCCAAACUCCUACGGGAGGCAGCAGUAGGGAAUCUUCCACAAUGGACGAAAGUCUGAUGGAGCAACGCCGCGUGAGUGAAGAAGGGUUUCGGCUCGUAAAACUCUGUUGUUAAAGAAGAACAUAUCUGAGAGUAACUGUUCAGGUAUUGACGGUAUUUAACCAGAAAGCCACGGCUAACUACGUGCCAGCAGCCGCGGUAAUACGUAGGUGGCAAGCGUUGUCCGGAUUUAUUGGGCGUAAAGCGAGCGCAGGCGGUUUUUUAAGUCUGAUGUGAAAGCCUUCGGCUCAACCGAAGAAGUGCAUCGGAAACUGGGAAACUUGAGUGCAGAAGAGGACAGUGGAACUCCAUGUGUAGCGGUGAAAUGCGUAGAUAUAUGGAAGAACACCAGUGGCGAAGGCGGCUGUCUGGUCUGUAACUGACGCUGAGGCUCGAAAGUAUGGGUAGCAAACAGGAUUAGAUACCCUGGUAGUCCAUACCGUAAACGAUGAAUGCUAAGUGUUGGAGGGUUUCCGCCCUUCAGUGCUGCAGCUAACGCAUUAAGCAUUCCGCCUGGGGAGUACGGCCGCAAGGCUGAAACUCAAAGGAAUUGACGGGGGCCCGCACAAGCGGUGGAGCAUGUGGUUUAAUUCGAAGCUACGCGAAGAACCUUACCAGGUCUUGACAUACUAUGCAAAUCUAAGAGAUUAGACGUUCCCUUCGGGGACAUGGAUACAGGUGGUGCAUGGUUGUCGUCAGCUCGUGUCGUGAGAUGUUGGGUUAAGUCCCGCAACGAGCGCAACCCUUAUUAUCAUUUGCCAGCAUUAAUUUGGGCACUCUGUUGAGACUGCCGGUGACAAACCCGAAGAAAGGUGGGGAUGACGUCAAUUCUCCUGCCCCUUAUGACUGGGGCUACGCACGUGCUCCCAUGGAUGGUACAGCAAUUGGCGACCGGCCGGAAUACGCCUAUCCCUUAAAGCAUUUCCCAGUUCGGAUUGUAACUUUGAAAGUGGCGACAGGAAGUCGCAAUCCUCAAAAGGACGAAGAUCCAAUACCCGGAGUAAAAAGUUCCCCGGCCUUGGAAGCAGGCCAAUCCCCCGCGGAACGUCGCACGCCCAACUAUUCGACGAUAACAUUUGACCACCCAAGCAAGGGAGGGAGCCAGUUAAAGAUUAACUUAGGAAUGGAUUGGAAGAUAGCGCGGGACGCUCAGCCGAACAGGGCAAAAAACCAAUAGGCACGAUUGGAAUAGGAACGGAGGAGUAAAGAGUAAAUGAG
rnacentral:rRNA from 1 species